GGCCCAAUGGUCUAGUAGUAUGAUUCGCGCUUCGGGUCAUGCCGAGUCUGCGCGAGGUCCCGGGUUCAAUUCCCGGUUGGGCCC